rnacentral:rRNA from 1 species
AGUGAACGCUGGCGGUAGGCCUAACACAUGCAAGUCGAACGGCAGCACAGUAAGAGCUUGCUCUUACGGGUGGCGAGUGGCGGACGGGUGAGGAAUACAUCGGAAUCUACUUUUUCGUGGGGGAUAACGUAGGGAAACUUACGCUAAUACCGCAUACGACCUACGGGUGAAAGCAGGGGAUCUUCGGACCUUUCGCGAUUGAAUGAGCCGAUGUCGGAUUAGCUAGUUGGCGGGGUAAAGGCCCACCAAGGCGACGAUCCGUAGCUGGUCUGAGAGGAUGAUCAGCCACACUGGAACUGAGACACGGGCCAGACUCCUACGGGAGGCAGCAGUGGGGAAUAUUGGACAAUGGGCGCAAGCCUGAUCCAGCCAUACCGCGUGGGUGAAGAAGGCCUUCGGGUUGUAAAGCCCUUUUGUUGGGAAAGAAAAGCAGCAGGUUAAUACCCCGCUGUUCUGACGGUACCCAAAGAAUAAGCACCGGCUAACUUCGUG